rnacentral:rRNA from 1 species
UACGUAGGGUGCAAGCGUUAAUCGGAAUUACUGGGCGUAAAGCGUGCGCAGGCGGUUAUGCAAGACAGAUGUGAAAUCCCCGGGCUCAACCUGGGAACUGCAUUUGUGACUGCAUGGCUAGAGUGCGGCAGAGGGGGAUGGAAUUCCGCGUGUAGCAGUGAAAUGCGUAGAUAUGCGGAGGAACACCGAUGGCGAAGGCAAUCCCCUGGGCCUGUACUGACGCUCAUGCACGAAAGCGUGGGGAGCAAACAGG